GACGAACGCUGGCGGCGUGCUUAACACAUGCAAGUCGAACGGAAAGGCCCUGCUUUUGUGGGGUUCUCGAGGGGCGAACGGGUGAGUAACACGUGAGUAACCUGCCCUUGACUUUGGGAUAACUUCAGGAAACUGGGGCUAAUACCGGAUAGGAUCUGCUGCUGCAUGGUGGGGGUUGGAAAGUUUCGGCGGUUGGGGAUGGACUCGCGGCUUAUCAGCUUGUUGGUGGGGUAGUGGCUUACCAAGGGUUUGACGGGUAGCCGGCCUGAGAGGGUGACCGGCCACAUUGGGACUGCGAGAGGGCCCAGAGUCCAACGGGAGGCAGCAGUGGGAAAUAUUGCACAAUGGGCGGAAGCCUGAUGCAGAAACGCCGCGUGCGGGAUGACGGCCUUCGGGUUGUAAACAGCUUUCGCCUGUGACGAAGCGGGAGUGACGGUAAUGGGUAAAGAAGCACCGGCUAACUACGUG
rnacentral:rRNA from 1 species